GGCAGGCGGAGUCAGGUCCUGCGACGUGGAUGAUGCCUGCUCAUCCCUCGAGGGAUGUCUCAAAAGUUCCUAGUUGUGGUUACUGCAUUGCCAUGAAAUUCAGCCCUGGUCCUGCGGCACCCUCGGACACCAGGCGUCUAGAGAGCACGAGCUUGUUAGCACUGUCCAGCAAGUGCCUGGGGCCGGCCUGUCUCUGCAUGGAGCACAGGGUGCUAUUGAGGCUCUAGCACCUGCAAGAAGAGGUCUUGCUCAGGUGGCACUGGGGCUCAGCAGGCCCCCAGAUGAUCAGUGACAGAAGUGCACAUCCCUGCUGGAGAUGGACAACUGCACCCCCAGAGGUUAAGUCACCGGGCUGCUCCAUCCCCAGACCAAUAUCCCUGACCCCUGACACGGGGCCAGUGUGCUUCCUGCAGCUGGGACUGGGACGGAGCUGCAGACCUCAGGGAACUCGGGACUCAGUGCCCUGCUCUCAGGAACUUGGAGAGAAGACAGCAAGGGCGCAGAGAGAAAAACUGGGCAGACACCCUCGUGAGAAGGCUCUAA